AUUGAACGCUGGCGGCAGGCCUAAUACAUGCAAGUCGACCUUAGUGGCGAACGGGUUAGUAACACGUGGGUAACCUGCCCAUCAGAAGGGGAUAACCCUUGGAAACAGGUGCUAAUACCGUAUACUGACGGAUGGACCCGCGGUGCAUUAGCUAGUUGGUGAGGUAACGGCUCACCAAGGCCACGAUGCAUAGCCUGCCUGAGAGGGUGAUCGGCCACAUUGGGACUGAGACACGGCCCAGACUCCUACGGGAGGCAGCAGUAGGGAAUAUUCGACAAUGGACGAAAGUCUGACCGAGCAACGCCGCGUGAGUGAAGAAGGGUUUCGGAUCGUAAAACUCUGUUGUUAGAGAAGCGUUAUCUAACCAGAAAGCCACGGCUAACUUCGUGCCAGCAGCCGCGGUAAUAC
rnacentral:rRNA from 1 species